rnacentral:miRNA from 1 species
GGUCAGCUGACACAUCCCUGCCAAUCUCCAGCAGACCCUCCCUCCCAGACCCUCCCACCUCCUGGACAGCAUCCAUGUUGAAGCUGCCUUCAACAUGGAUGCUGUCCAGGAAGUAGGAGAGUCUGGGAGGGAGGGUCUGCUGGAGAUUGGCAGGGAUGUGUCAGCUG